ACGGGUGAGUAAUGUCUGGGGAUCUGCCCGAUAGAGGGGGAUAACCACUGGAAACGGUGGCUAAUACCGCAUAACGUCGCAAGACCAAAGAGGGGGACCUUCGGGCCUCUCACUAUCAGAUGAACCCAGAUGGGAUUAGCUAGUAGGCGGGGUAACGGCCCACCUAGGCGACGAUCCCUAGCUGGUCUGAGAGGAUGACCAGCCACACUGGAACUGAGACACGGUCCAGACUCCUACGGGAGGCAGCAGUGGGGAAUAUUGCACAAUGGGCGCAAGCCUGAUGCAGCCAUGCCGCGUGUAUGAAGAAGGCCUUCGGGUUGUAAAGUACUUUCAGCGGGGAGGAAGGCAGUGAGGUUAAUAACCUUACUGAUUGACGUUACCCGCAGAAGAGGCACCGGCUAACUCCGUGCCAGCAGCCGCGGUAAUACGGAGGGUGCAAGCGUUAAUCGGAAUUACUGGGCGUAAAGCGCACGCAGGCGGUCUGUUAAGUCAGAUGUGAAAUCCCCGGGCUUAACCUGGGAACUGCAUUUGAAACUGGCAGGCUUGAGUCUCGUAGAGGGGGGUAGAAUUCCAGGUGUA
rnacentral:rRNA from 1 species